rnacentral:rRNA from 1 species
CACCGCGGUUAUACGAGAGGCCCAAGUUGACAAGUGCCGGCGUAAAGAGUGGUUAAGGGAAAUCGCCCAACUAAAGCCGAACACCUUCAGAGCUGUCAUACGCUUCCGAAGGCAUGAAGCCCCACCACGAAAGUGGCUUUACCCCCCCCCCCGACCCCACGAAAGCUGCGGAA